rnacentral:rRNA from 1 species
GUUGUAUGGUUAAGCGACUAAGCGUAUACGGUGGAUGCCUUGGCAGUCAGAGGCGAUGAAGGACGUAGUAACUUGCGAAAAGCGUUGGCGAGCUAGUAACAAGCAUUUGAGCUAACGAUGUCCGAAUGGGGGAACCCGGCCGCAUAAGCGGUCAUCAUGUGGUGAAUACAUAGCUACAUGAGGCAAACGAGGGGAACUGAAACAUCUAAGUACCCUUAGGAAAAGAAAUCAACCGAGAUUCCCCUAGUAGCGGCGAGCGAACGGGGAUUAGCCCUUAAGUCAGAGGGGUGUUAGUGGAAUGGUCUGGAAAGUCCAGCGGCACAGGGUGAUAGCCCCGUACACGAAAACUAACCUUUGAUGAAAACGAGUAAGGCGGGACACGUGAUAUCCUGUUUGAAUAUGGGGGGACCAUCCUCCAAGGCUAAAUACUCCUGACUGACCGAUAGUGAACCAGUACCGUGAGGGAAAGGCGAAAAGAACCCCUGUGAGGGGAGUGAAAUAGAACCUGAAACCGUAUACGUACAAGCAGUGGGAGCGGUUCUUGAGACCGUGACUGCGUACCUUUUGUAUAAUGGGUCAGCGACUUACGUUUUGUAGCGAGGUUAAGCGAAUAGCGGAGCCGUAGGGAAACCGAGUGUUAACUGCGCGUUUAGUUGCAAGGCGUAGACCCGAAACCCGGUGAUCUAGCCAUGGGCAGGUUGAAGGUUGAGUAACAUCAACUGGAGGACCGAACCGACUAAUGUUGAAAAAUUAGCGGAUGACUUGUGGCUGGGGGUGAAAGGCCAAUCAAACCGGGAGAUAUCUGGUUCUCCUCGAAAGCUAUUUAGGUAGCGCCUCGAGCGAAUACCAUUGGGGGUAGAGCACUGUUAAGGCUAGGGGGUCAUCCCGACUUACCAACCCUUUGCAAACUCCGAAUACCAAUGAGUACUACUCGGGAGACAGACGGCGGGUGCUAACGUCCGUCGUCAAAAGGGAAACAACCCAGACCGUCAGCUAAGGUCCCAAAGUGUAUGUUAAGUGGGAAACGAUGUGGGAAGGCUUAGACAGCUAGGAUGUUGGCUUAGAAGCAGCCAUCAUUUAAAGAAAGCGUAAUAGCUCACUAGUCGAGUCGGCCUGCGCGGAAGAUGUAACGGGGCUAAACAUACCACCGAAGCUACGGGUGCAAUUCAUUAGAGUUGCGCGGUAGAGGAGCGUUCUGUAAGCCGUUGAAGGUGAAGGGGUAACCCACACUGGAGGUAUCAGAAGUGCGAAUGCUGACAUGAGUAACGAUAAAGGGGGUGAAAAACCCCCUCGCCGAAAGACCAAGGGUUCCUGUCCAACGUUAAUCGGGGCAGGGUGAGUCGACCCCUAAGGUGAGGCCGAAAGGCGUAAUCGAUGGGAAACAGAUUAAUAUUUCUGUACUUCCGCUAACUGCGAUGGAGAGACGGAGAAGGCUAGGCUAGCGCGGCGUUGGUAGUCCGCGUUUAAGGUGGUAGGUGGGUGACUUAGGCAAAUCCGGGUCACUAUACACUGAGAGCUGAUGACGAGUCCCCAAGGGGAUGAAGUAGUUGAUGCCAUGCUUCCAGGAAAAUCUUCUAAGCUUCAGGUUAGCGGGAAUCGUACCCCAAACCGACACAGGUGGUCGGGUAGAGAAUACCAAGGCGCUUGAGAGAACUCGGCUGAAGGAACUAGGCAAAAUGGUACCGUAACUUCGGGAGAAGGUACGCU